CUCAGAUGUCUGCCUUCUGUGUGACUCUUGCCACCUUAUUCUCCCUGUACUGACUAAAGUCUCUCAAGAGCUACGACACUUGUGUGGUAAAAGACCUUCCAAUGGAUUUUCAUUGUAAUUUGGAUAAUAACUGAUAUAGAAAACGGAGCAAGCCUUGAGUGAGUGAAAUCUUGAAUCAGUGUAUAUUUUGAUAUGAGUAUGGCUGUGUUGAGGACUCCAAGGCCUCAGACGUAUGGAAAAAUUGGCAAAGCUUUCCUCCAGGAGUCCAAGUAUGAGUAUUUGUAAACAAUUAGUCAGUGUAUGCAAAGACAAACAACUUUGUUUUCUUCCCUAGGGGAUGUUUCCAGCUUGAGACUUCUUGCCUACAGAGACACCCUCAAGGAUUAGCUGCUCCUGAUGUACAUAAGAAACAUGCUGAUGUUUUGGGUUGUAGGCUCCUGAAACUCAGCAGUGAGUGUGAUGGAGUCGGGAGAGACAGACACCCUGCGGUGAUGAGGCUAAGAUGCACCUCCUAAGAUGGAUUAAAGGCUUAUGGAAGAACCUCAAGCAACAUUUGGCUACCGUGCCAUUGAGGAUGAUACUCCUUCCCUCCAGGGAAGCACAAUACCAAAGUUACAACAUGGAAGCAGAGAUACUGGGCUACAGCUGGCACUCUUGUGGCCUCCCCAUCAACCAGAACUAUGAGAAUAUAAAUUCCUGCUCUUUAUAACUAUCCAGGCUCUGGUAUUUUGUUAUCUAGCAGGCAUAGAUGAACAUGUCACAAGAUGUUUAGUAUUUGGAUUCAUAGUUGACAAGAACACGACAAAGUCUAGUCACCCAACUUUGCAUAGCCUCAGCAUCUGGCCCCCUGCCUGAUAUGAAGAUACCUCAGAGUAUUUUAUGGAGUUCACAGAAGUAUUUAAAAGAACAGACCAUUUUCAAUCUUAAUCUCUG
rnacentral:lncRNA from 1 species